rnacentral:rRNA from 1 species
UGAGCGGCAAAAGCUCAAAUUUGAAAUCUGGUACCUUCGGUGCCCGAGUUGUAAUUUGGAGAGGGCAACUUUGGGGCCGUUCCUUGUCUAUGUUCCUUGGAACAGGACGUCAUAGAGGGUGAGAAUCCCGUGUGGCGAGGAGUGCGGUUCUUUGUAAAGUGCCUUCGAAGAGUCGAGUUGUUUGGGAAUGCAGCUCUAAGUGGGUGGUAAAUUCCAUCUAAAGCUAAAUAUUGGCGAGAGACCGAUAGCGAACAAGUACAGUGAUGGAAAGAUGAAAAGAACUUUGAAAAGAGAGUGAAAAAGUACGUGAAAUUGUUGAAAGGGAAGGGCAUUUGAUCAGACAUGGUGUUUUGUGCCCUCUGCUCCUUGUGGGUGGGGGAAUCUCGCAUUUCACUGGGCCAGCAUCAGUUUUGGUGGCAGGAUAAAUCCAUAGGAAUGUAGCUUGCCUCGGUAAGUAUUAUAGCCUGUGGGAAUACUGCCAGCUGGGACUGAGGACUGCGACGUAAGUCAAGGAUGCUGGCAUAAUGGUUAUAUGCCGCCCGUCUU